rnacentral:rRNA from 1 species
AUUGAACGCUGGCGGCAGGCCUAACACAUGCAAGUCGAACGAGUGGCGGACUGGUGAGUAAUGUCUGGGAAACUGCCCGACGGAGGUGGAUAACGACUGGAAACGGUAGCUAAUACCGCAUAACAUCCGAUGUGCCCAGUUGGGAUUAGCUAGUGGGUGGGGUAACGGCUCACCUGGGCAACGGUCCCUAGCUGGUCUGAGAGGAUGACCAGCAACACUGGAACUGAGAAACGGCCCGGACCCCUCGGGGAGAAGCAAGUGGGGAAUAUUGCACAAGGGGGGCAAGCCUGAUGCAGCCAGGCGGCGUGGAUGAAGAAGGCCUUCGGGUUGUAAACUACUUUCAGCGGGGAGGCGUUACUUGAAGAAGAAGGACCGGCUAACUACGUGCCAGCAGCCGCGGUAAUUC